rnacentral:rRNA from 1 species
AACGAAUGCUGGCGGCAUGCCUAACACAUGCAAGUCGAACGAGACCUUCGGGUCUAGUGGCGCACGGGUGCGUAACGCGUGGGAACCUGCCCUUAGGUUCGGAAUAACUCCCCGAAAGGGGUGCUAAUACCGGAUAAUGUCUUCGGACCAAAGAUUUAUCGCCUUUGGAUGGGCCCGCGUUGGAUUAGCUAGUUGGUAGGGUAAAAGCCUACCAAGGCGACGAUCCAUAGCUGGUCUGAGAGGAUGAUCAGCCACACUGGGACUGAGACACGGCCCAGACUCGUAGGGGAGGAAGAAGGAGGGAAUCUUCCGAAAUGGGCGAAAGCCUGACGGAGCAAAGCAGAGUGAGUGAUGAAGGUCUUCGGAUCGUAAAACUAUGUUAUUAGGGAAGAACAAAUGUGUAAGUAACUAUGCACGUAUUGACGGUACCUAAUCAGAAAGCCACGGCUAACUACGUG